CCAGUACUUGUGUUAAUACU
rnacentral:miRNA from 1 species